rnacentral:rRNA from 1 species
AAUAUUGCGCAAUGGAGGGAACUCUGACGCCGCGACGCCGCGUGAGCGAUGAAGGUCUUCGGAUCGUAAAGCUCUGUCCUUGGGGAAGAAGGUCUUCGGACUUGACGGCACCUAAGGAGGCAGCCCCGGCCAACUACGUGCUAGCAGCCGCGGUAAUCCGUAGGGGGCAACCGUUGUCCGGAAUUACUGGGUGUAAAGGGUGCGUAGGCGGCCUUUUAAAUCAGAUGUGAAAGCCCACGGCUUAACCGUGGGACUGCAUUUGAAACUGGAAGGCUUGAGUAUCGGAGAGGGUAGUGGAAUUCCCAGUGUGGCGGUGGAAUGCGUAGAUAUUGGGAGGAACACCAGUGGCGAAGGCGACUUUCUGGACUGUAACUGACGCUGAGGUACGAAAGCGUGGGUAGCGAACA